rnacentral:rRNA from 1 species
AUUGAACGCUGGCGGCAGGCCUAACACAUGCAAGUCGAACGAGUGGCGGACGGCUGAGUAAUGUCUGGGAAACUGCCCGAUGGAGGGGGAUAACUACUGGAAACGGUAGCUAAUACCGCAUACCAUCGGAUGUGCCCAGAUGGGAUUAGCUAGUAGGUGGGGUAACGGCUCACCUAGGCGACGAUCCCUAGCUGGUCUGAGAGGAUGACCAGCAAAACUGGAACGGAGACACGGUCAAGACUCCUACGUGAGGCAGCAGUGGGGAAUAUUGCACAAUGGGCGCAAGCGUGAUGCAGCCAUGCAGCGUGUAUGAAGAAGGCCUUCGGGUUGUAAAGUACUUUCAGCGGGGAGGCGUUACCCGCAGAAGAAGCACCGGCUAACUCCGUGCCAGCCGCCGCGGUAAUAC